GAAGAUAUAACUUAAUGGUAGAGUGGUUUACUUCUAAUGAACUUGUAAUGGUUCGAUUCCAUUUAUCUUCU
rnacentral:tRNA from 1 species